AGAGUUUGAUCCUGGCUCAGGACAAACGCUGGCGGCGUGCGUAACACAUGCAAGUCGGACGAGGGUAGGGAGCUUUUCGGAGCGCCCUAGCCGAGUGGCGGACGGGUGAGUAACACGUGGAUAACCUGCCCUGGUGUGGGGGAUACCCUGUAGAAAUACGGGCUAAGACCGCAUAUGGUCGCUGUUGGGGAGCCGACGGC
rnacentral:rRNA from 1 species